UCUGUAUCACUCGAGCAGCAAAAAUACGAGCAACGCUCAAAAAUGUCUUCGGCAAAUGCCUCUGAUUCCUUUUCCACUGCCAUUACCCCUGUAUUGAGUUACGACGUUUUCUUGAGUUUCAGAGGUGAAGACACCCGUAAAGGUUUCAUCGACCACCUCUCUACAACCUUACACGAAAAAGGUAUCCACACUUUCAAAGACGACACCGAACUCAAGAGAGGGAGUUCCAUUUCCCCAAUACUCGAAAAAGCCAUUGAAAGUUCUGAAGUCGCACUCGUUGUCUUCUCGAAAAACUAUGCCGACUCGUCUUGGUGUUUAGAUGAGAUUGUUAAGAUCGUUGAAUGUAACAAGAAAUUUGGCCAAAAGAUUUAUCCUGUAUUCUACAAUGUGGAUCCUUCUGAUGUUAGGAAGCAAAAAGGGAGUUACAAAAUAGCUUUUGACAAAUAUGAAAACGAUCCUAACGUGGAGAAGGAGAAAAUUAAGAGCUGGAGGAAUGCUUUGAAGGAAGCUGCUAGUGUUUCUGGAUGGGAUACCAAUCAUACUGCUGAUGGGUAAAUUUCCUACACUUUACUCUCCUUUAUUAUGUUUGCUGAUUUGCUUUUAAGUGUGAUAAUUCGUACGCAAAGUGUGGUA
rnacentral:lncRNA from 1 species